CUCUGGAGAAAAGCCUUUAUAUGUUCCUAGGCUGGAUAACAGCAAACCCAUAGAUAAUGUCCCAAGAGAUAUAAACCUGAAAGACAAGUUCAUAAAGCAUUUCACAGCAGGACCAGUCAAGUUCUCAUCAGAAUGUAGAACACAUUUUCAUAGACUCUAUCACAACACAAGGGAUUGUUCAAGACCAGCAUACUACAAAAGAUGUGCAAGAUUGCUAACACGGCUAGCGAUGAGUCCACUUUGCU